AGAGAGAGAAAUCUAGGGCUGCUGUGCAACCCGCCAACCAGGCGCUGUCUGGAGGUGCUACCUGUCCGUUCAGGUCACCUGUGCGGGCUGAGAGGUCUCUGGACGCCAGUAGCGCAGGGUGCGUUUUCUUUUAGGAACAGAAAGAGCAAGCUCACCCGGACACGCACACACAGGCACAAACGCACCCUGACGACCAGGACAUGCUCAGACUUAUGCCGAACCACAGCCACAGCCACGGAGACACACCCGCGCCCGCUCAUUCUGGAGAUGACAGCUGUCUCCUGGUCCAACAGAGAGGUGGCUGUAAACAAACCCAGGAACACCCAGAAGCAGGAGGAAAGAAACACACAUAAGCGCUCCUGUGGAGACAUGGAGUGCGGACCACUCAGACACCGGUGUCCACAUCCAGUUCUCCACAGGAUCCCUCUGAGAUCUCUCCUCCUGGGUCUGGGAUACCCUGGACUACUAUGGCCGAUGUCUCUGCCAACAGUGCUUCCUUUAGUUGAUGAUGUUAAAACAUUGAUAUCUGGACCAUCCUCAGACAAGCUGCCAGUCACUUCGCCAUCACCUUGGCAACCGUGAAGUGGAGCAGCGCAACCAGCAAAGCUCUCCAAACAGGUGAGCCGUGGGAAGCAGAGAGACAGAGACCUGGGGCAGCACUGCAGCGAAGCAGUUGCACAGAAACCCCAGGCCUUUGCAGGUAAUUAUCAGCUCUCAGUCACCUCCCCACUGUGUUUCCGUUCCCUACACCUCCACCCCUCCCACCCCUCGCUGUCACUUUGGUAAUCUCUCCCUUUAUUUCUCAAAGUUUGCAGUUAAACCUUGUACGAGUGGCUCAUUUUGGAAUCAGUGUGAUCAAGAGUCACCCCGAUAGAGAAAUACAGGCCUGGCUUCCUUCCUUUAUUGAGACACAUUAACAAAAGCCACAGAACCAGAAAUGGGAAAUGCUCUCUAUUCACGCACAGGAUGGUAAAAGAAAGAUAGAGCAUCUUAUAGACUUGAGGGUGUCAGCAUCACUCACAAUCCCCUGGUGCUUCUCAUACCAAUCCUUGUACAUGCUGGGAAGGGCUCCCUAGCAUUUUGCGCUUCCUUCCUGCCACAGAGAGUGAACCCGAAUCUCAGAAGAGAAAAAUGUUGUGUAGAAGGAUACGGUUGGCACAUGACAGCCAUCAAUAGAAACCCAGUUUUCAGGACUCAUCCUUACCCCUGUGGUCCACAGGCCUCUGGUUCUGGCUUUGGCUUGUGCUGUUCAUGCACGUUGAUGCUGCUGCCUCUCAGAUCCUCUUUCACGUCUAUGAUGUAGGUGCUGAGAUCUGUAAACUCCAUUUCUGAGGAUUUCUUGCUGGGUGUCUUGAUGAUCUCACUGGCAGCCAGGGAUAGUUGGUACUCACUGCCAGCUCAUCUCAGCGCCCCUGGAACCAGCAAAUUGGAGAAGGCAUCUGAUGUGAUAUUCGGAGAAAGCGUUUGGGCUCCAGAGAAGAUCCCUCUGGGAAUGGAAAAAAGAAGUGCCUGUCGUGGUGUUUGGGAGCGUGAGACGAUGAAGGGGUGUUCAGUGUUCUGUUUCUAGAUCUUUACAGCUCUACCCAGCUCCACACAUUUCAUUGCUAGAAAUCAAAAGAUAAUAAACUUUAAGUCUAUAA
rnacentral:lncRNA from 1 species